CGCUAGGAUGAACGCUAGCGGCAGGCCUAAUACAUGCAAGUCGGACGGGAAGGCCCCUUCGGGGGCCUGAGAGUGGCGCACGGGUGCGUAACGCGUAUGCAACCAACCCUCUUCCGGGGGACAGCCGGUGGAAACGCCGGGUAAUACCCCAUGCCAAUGCGGGGCGGCAUCGCCCUGGGUUGAAAGACCUCGGUCGGAGGAGGACGGGCAUGCGUCCCAUUAGCUAGUUGGCGGGGCGACGGCCCACCAAGGCUACGAUGGGUAGGGGAUCUGAGAGGACGGUCCCCCACACUGGUACUGAGACACGGACCAGACUCCUACGGGAGGCAGCAGUAAGGAAUAUUGGGCAAUGGGGGGAACCCUGACCCAGCCAUGCCCGCGUGAGGGAAUGAGGCCCUACGGGUCGUAAACCUCUUUUAUCUGGGGACAAGGACGGGGUCGGGAACCCCGUUUGCGGGUACCAGAUGAAUAAGCAUCGGCUAACUCCGUGCCAGCAGCUGC
rnacentral:rRNA from 1 species